GUUCCUGAUGAUGCUACAAACCAUGCUAAUUCUGAUGAAUUUAUGACUGAAAUCCGAUUUUCGGAAAUUUCCUGAGGGGACA
rnacentral:snoRNA from 1 species